CCAGAAGUAGAUAGCUUAACCUUCGGGAGGGCGUUUACCACGGUGUGAUUCAUGACUGGGGUGAAGUCGUAACAAGGUAACCCUAGGGGAACCUGGGGUUGGAUCACCUCCUUA
rnacentral:rRNA from 5 species